GGCCAAACGGCUGCAAAGCGAGUAUGCGUCUUGAUAACACGCCAACAACGGCCUAAGAAUUGCCGUGUCAUACAUACGCCAUUUAAUGACAUCAGUCUGGGCGUUUUUCAUAGACAA